GACGAACGCUGGCGGCGUGCUUAACACAUGCAAGUCGAACGGUGAACCGGGCUUCGGCCUGGGGAUCAGUGGCGAACGGGUGCGUAACACGUGGGCAACCUGCCUCAGACACUGGGAUAACCCCGGGAAACCGGGGCUAAUACCGGAUACUCCGACCGGACUGCAUGAUCCGGCCGGGAAAGCUCCGACGGUCUGAGAUGGGCCCGCGGCCUAUCAGCUUGUUGGUGGGGUAACGCCCACCAAGGCGACGACGGGAGCUGGUCUGAGAGGACGACCAGCCACACUGGAACUGAGACACGGUCCAGACUCCUACGGGAGGCAGCAGUGGGGAAUCUUGCGCAAUGGGCGAAAGCCUGACGCAGCGACGCCGCGUGGGGGAUGAAGGCCCUCGGGUUGUAAACCCCUUUCGGCAGGGACGAAGCGAACGUGACGGUACCUGCAGAGAAGUCCCGGCUAACUACGUGCCAGCCGCCGCAGUAAC
rnacentral:rRNA from 1 species